UACGUAGGGUCCGAGCGUUGUCCGGAAUUAUUGGGCGUAAAGAGCUCGUAGGCGGUCUGUCGCGUCUGCUGUGAAAACUCGGGGCUUAACCCCGGGCCUGCAGUGGGUACGGGCAGACUAGAGUGCGGUAGGGGAGACUGGAAUUCCUGGUGUAGCGGUGAAAUGCGCAGAUAUCAGGAGGAAUACCCAUAGCGAAGGCAGCUCGCUGGGACGGUACUGACGCUAAGGCGCGAAAGCGUGGGGAGCGAACAGG
rnacentral:rRNA from 1 species